CCUGCCUCUAGAGGUGUUCCAGGUGUGGCUGCUAUGUCACUUGUGUGCCAGUAGGUGACAGAGAGGAAAGAGGUUAGGUCUAAGCUCAGUGUUCUGACCUGUGAACGUCUGAAUGAUUAGUAUCCUAAUACU